rnacentral:rRNA from 1 species
GAUGAACGCUGGCGGCGUGCUUAACACAUGCAAGUCGAACGAAGCACUUUAUUUGAUUUCCUUCGGGACUGAUUAUUUUGUGACUGAGUGGCGGACGGGUGAGUAACGCGUGGGUAACCUGCCUUGUACAGGGGGAUAACAGUUGGAAACGGCUGCUAAUACCGCAUAAGCGCACGGCAUCGCAUGAUGCAGUGUGAAAAACUCCGGUGGUAUAAGAUGGACCCGCGUUGGAUUAGCUAGUUGGUGAGGUAACGGCCCACCAAGGCGACGAUCCAUAGCCGACCUGAGAGGAUGACCGGCCACAUUGGGACUGAGACACGGCCCAAACUCCUACGGGAGGCAGCAGUGGGGAAUAUUGCACAAUGGGCGAAAGCCUGAUGCAGCGACGCCGCGUGAGCGAAGAAGUAUUUCGGUAUGUAAAGCUCUAUCAGCAGGGAAGAUAAUGACGGUACCUGACUAAGAAGCACCGGCUAAAUACGUG